rnacentral:rRNA from 1 species
UCUCAAGUCGAGUGAACGAGAGGAGGAGCUUGCUCCCUGAUGUUAGCGGCGGACGGGUGAGUAACACGUGGGUAACCUGCCUGUAAGACUGGGAUAACUCCGGGAAACCGGGGCUAAUACCGGAUGGUUGUUUGAACCGCAUGGUUCAAACAUAAAAGGUGGCUUCGGCUACCACUUACAGAUGGACCCGCGGCGCAUUAGCUAGUUGGUGAGGUAACGGCUCACCAAGGCAACGAUGCGUAGCCGACCUGAGAGGGUGAUCGGCCACACUGGGACUGAGACACGGCCCAGACUCCUACGGGAGGCAGCAGUAGGGAAUCUUCCGCAAUGGACGAAAGUCUGACGGAGCAACGCCGCGUGAGUGAUGAAGGUUUUCGGAUCGUAAAGCUCUGUUGUUAGGGAAGAACAAGUACCGUUCGAAUAGGGCGGUACCUUGACGGUACCUAACCAGAAAGCCACGGCUAACUACGUGCCAGCAGCCGCGGUAAUACGUAGGUGGCAAGCGUUGUCCGGAAUUAUUGGGCGUAAAGGGCUCGCAGGCGGUUUCUUAAGUCUGAUGUGAAAGCCCCCGGCUCAACCGGGGAGGGUCAUUGGAAACUGGGGAACUUGAGUGCAGAAGAGGAGAGUGGAAUUCCACGUGUAGCGGUGAAAUGCGUAGAGAUGUGGAGGAACACCAGUGGCGAAGGCGACUCUCUGGUCUGUAACUGACGCUGAGGAGCGAAAGCGUGGGGAGCGAACAGGAUUAGAUACCCUGGUAGUCCACGCCGUAAACGAUGAGUGCUAAGUGUUAGGGGGUUUCCGCCCCUUAGUGCUGCAGCUAACGCAUUAAGCACUCCGCCUGGGGAGUACGGUCGCAAGACUGAAACUCA